CAAAAGAUUCCUCUUAUCUCUCACAUUAAUUAUCAAUCCACCUUUUUUCAAAAAAAGAAAACAAAAUGAUCAAAUAAAAAGAUAUUAAAAAGAAAUAGAAUCAUAAAGCAUAAUUUUCUCUCUUAGAGAACUCACGGUUCUCUCUUUACUUCAUAACCAUUACUUCAUUUCUUUUCUUCAUAACAAGCACUUAAAUAAAAACAAAAGAUCAUAGCACACAAAACAACAAACAGGCAGUGGAAAUGAAACAAAACAAAAGCUCACGGUGGAGUUCAUGCACGCAGCGGCGGAGAUGAACUCACGGCGGCUCAGCCAAGGCUUCACGGCGGCCGGAAGGAAAAAAAACCAGAAACGUGAAAUAAUUGCAUCGUUCAACUCGGUUUUUCUUCCUCGUUACAAAUAUCAGGUUAGUUCUUACAAAAAGUUAAACAAAAUUAGUAGAUCUACAAAGAAGUUUGAAAGCUAUAAAUUCAAAAUGUAGCACUAUCAGUGCAAGAGUCACGAAAAUAAAGAGGAAUUCGGGUUCAGAAGAUGGAGAACAACCUUUUAGUGUCAAGAACUUAAAUAACGACAGAGGUUAUGGAUUCCGGUGCGGUGGUUUUGUGUUUCCGGCGGUGGUUUUGUGUUUCCGACGGUGGUUUCCGGUCAGGAGGAGGUGAACCCGAUGCCAAACCAUGAAGCUUAGAAGAAAAUGGUAGACUUGUGAAGGUGUAAACCAAGAGUUUUGCCAUGAAUUUGUUCUUUGAAUCUUAGACCAUAGGAAAUCUCAAAUUAUGCUUCUUGUAGGAUAAGAAACUUUGUAAUUUGGUAUAGGAACCUUGAAUCCCUCUUGUAUUUUUGAAGCUUUAACUUGAAGAAAAUUGGAUUCUUUGAAUGGAAUGAGGAAUCUUGUUUUGAA